UACGAAGGGGGCUAGCGUUGCUCGGAAUGACUGGGCGUAAAGGGCGCGUAGGCGGCUUGCAGCAGUCAGGCGUGAAAUUCCUGGGCUCAACCUGGGGACUGCGCUUGAGACGUGUGGGCUUGAGUGGGGAAGAGGGUCGUGGAAUUCCCAGUGUAGAGGUGAAAUUCGUAGAUAUUGGGAAGAACACCGGUGGCGAAGGCGGCCUGCUGGGCUAUGGCUGACACUGAGGCGCGACGAGCGUGGGGAGCAAACAGG
rnacentral:rRNA from 1 species